rnacentral:rRNA from 1 species
GACGAACGCUGGCGGCGUGCUUAACACAUGCAAGUCGAACGGAAAGGCCCUGCUUUUGUGGGGUGCUCGAGUGGCGAACGGGUGAGUAACACGUGAGUAACCUGCCCUUGACUUUGGGAUAACUUCAGGAAACUGGGGCUAAUACCGGAUAGGAGCUCCUGCUGCAUGGUGGGGGUUGGAAAGUUUCGGCGGUCGGGGAUGGACUCGCGGCUUAUCAGCUUGUUGGUGGGGUAGUGGCUUACCAAGGCUUUGACGGGUAGCCGGCCUGAGAGGGUGACCGGCCACAUUGGGACUGAGAUACGGCCCAGACUCCUACGGGAGGCAGCAGUGGGGAAUAUUGCACAAUGGGCGGAAGCCUGAUGCAGCAACGCCGCGUGCGGGAUGACGGCCUUCGGGUUGUAAACCGCUUUCGCCUGUGGCGAAGCGUGAGUGACGGUAAUGGGUAAAGAAGCACCGGCUAACUACGUG